UCCAGGCGCGGUAGCACGUGCCUGUAGUCCCAGCUACCCAGGAGGCUGAGGCUAGAGGAUCACUUGAGUCCAGGAGUUCUGGGCUGUGGUGCCCUAUGCUGAUCAGGUGUCUGUACUAAGUUCGGCAUCAAUAUGGUGACCUCCCAGGAGCGGGGGACCACCAGGUUGCCUAAGGAGGGGUGAACCGGCCCAGGCUGGAAACGGAGCAGGUCAAAACUCCCGUGCUGAUCAGUAGUGGAAUCGCGCCUGUGAAUAGCCACUGCACUUCAGCCUGGGCAACAUAGUAAGACCCUGUCUCUU
rfam:Callithrix jacchus chromosome 14, whole genome shotgun sequence